ACAGAGAUCCCAGAAGAAUGAAGACUAGGUAGCCUGGCGCAUGCACAGUGGAAAAACAAAGAAGCAAGGCCCAACGUUCAAGGUUAUUCUAUGGCCUCCACAAACAUAUGCUAUGAAAUGUGCACACCCUCAUUUUCAAGAAUGAAUAAGAACAUAGACACAGACAAAAACAACUCUAGACACCUUUAAAAGACCCAGGUUUAAUUCCCAACACCCACACAGUGGUUCACAACCAUCUGUAUAUCGCAGGGGAUCCAACUCCCUCUUCUGUUCUCCUCAGGCAGACAUUGCAUCCACAUGGUGCACAAACAUACAUUCAGGCAAACACUUAUAUACAUAAAUAAAACCUCAAAAAAAAUUUUAAAUAAUCCCUUCCUUUUACAUUAAAAAAAAAAAACCUUUACUUUUAAGAACAAAUAUACACCAGGCAGUGGUGGUGCACGCCUUUAAUGCCAGCACUAGGGAGGCAGAGGCAGGCGGAUCUUUGCGAGUUCUACAAGAGCUAGUUCCAGGACCGGUUCCAAAGCUACAGAAAAACCCUGUCUCAAAAAAAAACAAAAAAGGAACAAAUAUACACAACACACACACACAAGUCCUCAGUUUGAUCAAUUUUAUCCCUAUAAAGUAUUGUUGGGGGGAAAGAGACAGAGAUUAGCAGCUGGCCUUAAACUUUCACAUCCUCUUAUACCUCAGCCUUAAGUGCUGGGAUUACAGACCUAUAGCAUCAUCAUGUCAGCAUACAAUCUAACUUUAAAAUUAAAGAUUUUUAAAGAAUAUGGUUUACAAGUGUGGUGAUAUACGCCUGUAACCCUAGCAUUCUGGAGAUCAAGGCAAAGUAUUAAGUUUGAGACCAGCAACAUCCAUGGACUGAGGAUACGUAGUGCUCAGUGAUAGAGGAUUUGCCUAACAUGAGCAAGGUAUUGCUUCCACCCUCAACACUGAAGGAGGAAAACUGUUACCAUAUGUUAACCAGCAAUUUUUCUCAGAAAUUGCAGCAUCAACGCUGAAAGCUAAAUUACUAUUCUGCACAGAAAAGUUACCCUAAGAACCUAACUAGCCCAUUAGACUCUUCAAAUGGCACUUCCUUUUCUCUCCUGAGUACUCCCUCUCAAGUGUUGUCACACAAAAUGGCCAGUGUGACCAGGAAGUCCCUUCCUAAUUAGUAGAGAUAAUAACAGCAAAUUCCAGCAAUGAAACAAGGCAGACAGGAAAUGCCCUCCACCCACUACCCACACACCUCUCCAUGUGCUAAGAGUUGUCCUCAAAAUAGUUAAGUUUCUUUAUAAGCUCCAAAACCUGUAACAAUAUAACAAAAGCACUGGCUAAAACCCAGGAAAUAUACUCCCCACACUAGUGAUCAUCCCUCACUCUGAAUUGGUCAAGUCUUCCCAGGAACUGUAGUAGGACAAACACCAGCUCAGAGGUUCUACGGUUUGGUCCUCAUGCCAGGACUGUUGUUCCUUCUACUUUUAUCUAAAAAAGUCAACUACAGGAACUAUUUUCUAUACUUGUGAUGUUUUUUAAAUAAGAAGUUAGGGGAUAGUGAGAUAGUCAAUGGGUGAAAAUACUUGCUGCACAAGCCUGACAGCCUGAGUUUGAUCCCUGGGAUCCAUAUAAAAGCCAGAUGUGGUGGCAUGCAUCUGUAAUCCCACCCCAGCACUCUUAAGCUUUCUAACUAGGCUACACCUGUCAGAAACAGCACCUGGCUCCAAAACAAAAUAGAAUGAGAAAACAACUCCUGCAAGUUGCCCUCUGACCUCUACAAUAGCUCAGGAGCACAUGUGCACCUGUUCACUCCCUUCCCCCACAAACACAAACAACACAGACACAAAUAAUAGAAGUUUAAAAAUUAAUUUAUACACUGGUAGUUAUGACUAUAUCAGAAUAGUAGUUUUUAUGGGGGAUCUUAAAUGAUUUUUAAAUUUUUGUGUGUUGGCCGGGCACACCUUUAAUCCCAGCACUUGGGAGGCAGAGGCAGGUGGGUCUUUGUGAGUUCAAGGCCAGCCUGGUCUAUGAGAGCUAGUUUCAGGACAGGCUCCAAAGAUACAGAGAAACCCUGUCUCAAAAAAAACACACACACACACAAAAAAAAGUUUUUUGUGUUGGAGAGUAUGUGUGCACAUGCGCGAAUAUAUACAACUAUGUGUGCUAGUACGCGCAUCUGUAUAAGAAAGGCAUCAAGUACAGUCCUAUCUCUGCCUUACUCCUUAUGAGCAUAGUCUCUCAGAGGCUGGACCUUACAUUUCUGCGCUAGGUUGGAAGUCAGGGAAGUCCAGGAACCCUAUCUUCUCACUGCUCAAUGCUGGGAUUACAAGAGAAUGUGGGGUAUACCUGAUUUGUUAUGUGGGUAUUCUACUGAAACUCCAGUCUUCAUGCCUACACAGUAAAUAGCUUUUAAUCAUAAAACCAUCUCUUCAUCCCUCACAUGAAUUUUUUAUUUUAAGAUUUAUGUGUUUGCUUGCAUGUAUACAUGCACAUUAUGUGUGUCUGUGCCUGUAGAGAUCAGAAGGCAGCAUCAGAUCCUGUAGAACUAGAUUUGCGGAUGGUUGUGAGCCACCAUGUGGGUGUUGGAAAUCAAACCUGGGUCUCUCUGUAGAUCAACAAGUGCUCUUAAUCCAUCUCUCGAGCCUUUUGUUUUUAGACAGGAUCUUACUAUGUAGCCCUGGCUGGCCAGAGCUGUUAUGUAAACAGGAUGGCCUGAGAUCUGCCUACCUCUGCCUCCUGAGUGCUGGGAUUAAAGGUGUGCACCACACUAAGUCCUGACUUAUUUCUCUCCAUAAAUUUUAACGUGGACCAAUUAAGACAGCAAUGAACCAUGGUUUAGCAGCUAAGAGUACUUGCUGGUCCUGCAAAGGGCCCAGGUUUGGUUCCUGCACCUAUAUGCCAGGGCACAACCCUUUACAACACCAAUUCCAGAGGAUCUGAUACCCUCUUCUGGCCUCUAUGGACAACAAGCAUGCCCAUGGUCCCAAAAUAAAACACAGAACACAAAAUACAGAACACAAAAUAAAAAAUAUGAAACAAAAAGAUGAGAUAGCUAUAAAAUAAUCCCAUGAUUUACUGCACAUAAACCAUACAAUUAUACAGAAUACACAUUAAACCCUCUAAAAGUUCCAUUUUUGGCCAAUUUCUGCCAAUUUUUCAUAUACUCCAAACAUCCUUGACUUUUUAAAUAAGCAAGUAAGUUCAUGUGUUUGAUCCCAGAUUUCACGAGACCCAAACUUCUACAAACUGUCUUCUGACCUCCAUACAUGCACCACAGAAUAUCAUGCAUGCAUGUGUACAAAUGUAUACACACACACAAAUGGAGUUGGAAGUUAUGGCACAUGCUUUUAAUCCAAGCACUCAGGAGGUAGAAGCAGAGCUACAGUGUGACACCACCCCCCCCCCCUCUCUCUCACACACACACACACACAUACACACGGACUGGAAUUGACAUAAAUAAGCUCUGUUGUCAUUAACAUUUUUCUGCCUUACAAAAAAGUGUGCAUUUUAACUUCCUCAUUCUCCAAGAGUGAAAUUAAAUUAACAAAUCCUCUCAAAGAUGCUUAUUGCAUUACAACAGUCUUACACUUCUUGGCUAUAAAUAUGUAGAUGAAGGGUUUAAACAAACAACCAAAGGAAGUUAAAAGUGAAAAAUAGCCUUUACUGUGCUGUCCAGGGUUUGAUUUAAAUGUCUGACUUUGGUCACUGUCAAAAAGAACUUUGUGGAGUCUGCCUAACUACAGACAUGUUAGAUAUUUGAAAGCAAGAAAGUUACUAAAGCUAUCAAAUGCAUUUCUAUCAAAUUUGGGAAAUUAAAAAUAUAUUUACUGAGCAGCCAGCUUUUGUUAAUUUGUUAAGCAUGUUAAUAUUAACAUCCCUAAAAUUACUUAUUCACUUGAAAUGUUACAAAACAAAAAUGACAUUUGUACUUAAGUACUUAAGAAAUUAAUACCUGCAUUUUAAAAAGUAAAAUUCAUUUUAUUUUUUAAAUAUCACUUCUGAAAAUAAGCUUGAUAACUUAUGAAUUAAGGUUUAUUACUGUCUUUAUUUAAAUGAGGCUUGCAGAAUCUCGACUCAUCAUUAUCACAUUUACCUUACAUUUUCACAAAUUUUUUCCAACUUUUAUGCACUCAUACAAAAUAUAAACAUUCUAAGUUUUCACGAACCAAGCAGUUUAAGACCCUCACUAAAAAAAAAAAAAAAAACAUGUACAAACCAAAGCUAAGUACCAUUAAUUAAAGAUAAAACAGAGCUAAGAACAAAAUGAAAGUUAUGGUUUUUUAAUUCUUCCCCUUACGUACUAAAAGUAUACCACAAUCUCCAAAUACCUUCAAUUUAGCCACUAGAUUUCCAGAAACUCAACAGAAAUCGUCUAGAGACAGGCAUUAUAAAGCUACCACUAUGGAAAAGAUUUCCUGUUUCUUAAAGGUUUAUUUUGUUGCCAUAUUUCAACUACAUGAAACCACUUGUUCUCAGCUUUCCUACCACAAAACAUUCCCCAAACAAAGACUGUUUACAUCUCUUAAGAAGCCUUUGUUCCAGGACCCCUCUGUUCAAGAGCUACAACUUCUGGAUCUUCUCUCUGGUGGUUCUAUCAACAGCAAAUGCUGGCCAACUCUUCUACAUUGGCACAGGAGUUUGUUAAACAAAGGAGGAGCAAGUCCCCUGCACACAAAGGAGGGCUCCAAAUAGCACUAGUUGUGUCUGUAGAUCAUUUCUCCUCUUUACCCCUCUCCUCUCAGGCUCUACUACACAGUACUCAAUACAAAAUGGUGGCUAUCAUGUGUGACAUUCAGAAUGGGAAAAAGCAAAACAAACGCACAAAUCCUAAAGAUUGCCAUUAAUCUGCUAACCCAGAUGAGAAAUGGGUAGCCAGACCUAAGCAGAGCAACACUAUUUUUCGAAGACAACAGCUCUAUGAAGGCAAAGAAGGCAAGAGAAAGGACUUACCCAGCCCUGAAUGCCACAAUGCCAACAUGGAGGACAGCUCACAGGAACCUAACUCCUCUUACAUUUUGGUUUCUAAUAAGUUAGUCAAGUUUGCUAAUGUCUGGAUAAGAUCCUAUCAAUGAAAACGUCCAAUGUUCACAUUCAUCUUUCCUGACACAUUAACAGGAAGGUACAUCGCUCAAUGUUUAGAGAAAGCGUGGUCUUUUCUUCCAAAUUAAAACCUUAGUGAUAACCAGCCCAGGGUGUAACUUCUGCAGGCCUCUACAGUAAAAGAAAUGUACCUUCCCUUAAGAAACAAUACUCGCCCCUGUCCACUUUCACCAGGAGAAAUGAAUCUAUUUCCAAUCAUUUCCUCCACACUAGCUGACCUGGCCAGUUCUUUUCUGAGGCAUCUAUUUCAUUUCUGUUUGAAAAGUUGUCCAAGAGAAACUAAAAUAUGGUGUCUGUGGUUUAAUUUUUUUUUUUAUCUGGUGGGGGGUGAUGGAAAGAUAAGGCUUUAGAACAGAAUGAUUACGCACAUAAUCCCGCAAUUAAAAAUACCAUUACAAAGAGCAAGUUUAAAGAAGAAAGAGGUAAAGGGGGGGGGGUCCUUCCUCCACUUGUGUGCGAGCAGUGGAGAUAGAAAAUUCUUAAAACGGUAGGCAAGGCAGUUAAACCUCUCCAACCGUCCCGGCCGGUCCAACGGUCGUUUAGGCCAACUCAGACUCGGGCCAUCCCAAAAGGGUAUUUAUUAUAUGUGUGCCUGUGUUUGAGGUUCCUCCUGGAGUUGAUUUCCUGUCCAGUUCUCUGCCUUGGGAGAACGCAGUACCUUUGACGUUGGCAUCCUACAAAUUAGUGACCCUAAAUGAUGAGAUCCUACUGCUCAGAUCAAGCAGCAACUGUUUGGCUCGGCACCGACCCAAACAGACGCCGAGGGAGCGGGCGGCUGCCAAGCUAGUAAAGAGAACCCUAGGGACUGAGAAGGAUCUCUACUAAGAGUUACCAAAAGUUUCACAACAUAUGAUGGUUGAGCCUUAUGAAGUUGAUUUUCGUGACCCAUAAUGGAUUGUGAUUUACAAAGACUGCGCUAAGGCUAGUCUCUGUUUUUCUACUGUUUGACAGCUUUCAAAAAGAUUACCCAGGUACGUAAGGGAGAGCAGGUGCAGAUGCUGGAAGGCCACCAGCCACAAGCCUGGAUAAGACCGUGGGGAAAGGCCUCCUAGCAUCUUGACCUUGGACUUGUAGCUUCCAGAAUUGUGAAUAAUGUAAAUUGUUUAAACCAAUUCCCUAAAAUC